rnacentral:rRNA from 1 species
GAUGAACGCUGGCGGCGUGCCUAACACAUGCAAGUCGAACGGAAAGGCCCCUUUGGGGGUUCUCUAGUGGCGCAGGGGGGCGUAACACGUGAGUAACCUUCCCUUGACUUCGGGAUAACUUUAGGAAACUGGGGCCAAUACCGGAAAGGGAUCCUAGCUGCAUGGUGGGGGUUGGAAAGCUUCCGCGGUUUUGGAUGGACUUGCGGCGUAUCAGCUUGUUGGUGGGGUAAUGGCUUACCAAGGCUUGGGCGGGUAGCCGGACUGAGGGGGCGACCGGCCACAUAGAGACUGAGGGGCGGCCCAGGCGGCUACGGGUGGCAGAAGUGGGGAAGACUGCACAAUGGGCGCAGGCCUGGUGCAGCAGCGCCGCGGACGGGAUGACGGCCUUAGGGUUGAAGACCGCUUGCAGCAGGAGCGAUGCUUGUGGUGACGGUACCUACAGAAGAAGCACCGGCUAACUACGUG